rnacentral:rRNA from 1 species
UGACCGUGCAAAGGUAGCAUAAUCAUUUGCCUUAUAAUUGAAGGCUAGUAUGAAUGGUUUGACGAGAAUUAAGCUGUCUCUUUACAAUUAAAUAUAAUUUUAUUUACAGGUGAAGAAGCCUGUGUUUUAUUGAAAGACAAGAAGACCCUAUCGAGCUUUAAAAAAUUUAGUAGACUUAUCUUAUAUUAAUAAAAAUAUAAGGCUAUUAAAAAUUUUGGUUGGGGCGACUGAGGAACAAAUAAAGCUUCCUUUAUAGUUAAAAACUUACAAGUAUUGAUCCAAUAAAUUUGAUUAAAGGAAUUAGUUACCGUAGGGAUAACAGCAUAAUCUUCUUUGAGAGCUCCCAUCGAAAAGGAGGUUUGUGACCUCGAUGUUGGACCAGAAUACCCAGAAGAUGCAGCUGUCUUCAAAGGUUGGUCUGUUCGACCAUUAAA